CCCCCGCUCAGAUUGAACGCUGGCGGCAGGCUUAACACAUGCAAGUCGAGCGGAAACGAUGAUAGCUUGCUAUCAGGCGUCGAGCGGCGGACGGGUGAGUAAUACUUAGGAAUCUACCUAGUAGUGGGGGAUAGCACGGGGAAACUCGUAUUAAUACCGCAUACGACCUACGGGAGAAAGGGGGCAGUUUACUGCUCUCGCUAUUAGAUGAGCCUAAGUCGGAUUAGCUAGAUGGUGGGGUAAAGGCCUACCAUGGCGACGAUCUGUAGCUGGUCUGAGAGGAUGAUCAGCCACACCGGGACUGAGACACGGCCCGGACUCCUACGGGAGGCAGCAGUGGGGAAUAUUGGACAAUGGGGGAAACCCUGAUCCAGCCAUGCCGCGUGUGUGAAGAAGGCCUUUUGGUUGUAAAGCACUUUAAGCAGUGAAGAAGACUCCGUGGUUAAUACCCACGGACGAUGACAUUAGCUGCAGAAUAAGCACCGGCUAACUCUGUGCCAGCAGCCGCGGUAAUACAGAGGGUGCAAGCGUUAAUCGGAAUUACUGGGCGUAAAGGGAGCGUAGGUGGCUCGAUAAGUCAGAUGUGAAAUCCCCGGGCUCAACCUGGGAACUGCAUCUGAUACUGUUGAGCUAGAGUAUGUGAGAGGAAGGUAGAAUUCCAGGUGUAGCGGUGAAAUGCGUAGAGAUCUGGAGGAAUACCGAUGGCGAAGGCAGCCUUCUGGCAUAAUACUGACACUGAGGCUCGAAAGCGUGGGUAGCAAACAGGAUUAGAUACCCUGGUAGUCCACGCCGUAAACGAUGUCUACUAGUCGUUGGGUCCCUUGAGGACUUAGUGACGCAGCUAACGCAAUAAGUAGACCGCCUGGGGAGUACGGCCGCAAGGUUAAAACUCAAAUGAAUUGACGGGGGCCCGCACAAGCGGUGGAGCAUGUGGUUUAAUUCGAUGCAACGCGAAGAACCUUACCUGGUCUUGACAUAUCUAGAAUCCUGCAGAGAUGCGGGAGUGCCUUCGGGAAUUAGAAUACAGGUGCUGCAUGGCUGUCGUCAGCUCGUGUCGUGAGAUGUUGGGUUAAGUCCCGCAACGAGCGCAACCCUUGUCCUUAGUUACCAGCGGGUUAAGCCGGGAACUCUAAGGAUACUGCCAGUGACAAACUGGAGGAAGGCGGGGACGACGUCAAGUCAUCAUGGCCCUUACGACCAGGGCUACACACGUGCUACAAUGGUAGGUACAGAGGGCAGCUACACAGCGAUGUGAUGCGAAUCUCAAAAAGCCUAUCGUAGUCCAGAUUGGAGUCUGCAACUCGACUCCAUGAAGUAGGAAUCGCUAGUAAUCGCGGAUCAGAAUGCCGCGGUGAAUACGUUCCCGGGCCUUGUACACACCGCCCGUCACACCAUGGGAGUUGAUUGCACCAGAAGUGGAUAGCUUAACCUUCGGGGAGGCGUUCACCACGGUGUGGUUGAUGACUGGGG
rnacentral:rRNA from 1 species